CUUGAUCGACCCCAGCCACAACGGCUCGUUGCGGUCUUGGCCGUAGGUCGCCAAAAGUGCUUGCGCCUC
rfam:Mycobacterium celatum strain DSM 44243 contig_21, whole genome shotgun sequence.